UAUUUGACCUAUAGUGUGAGGGAGGAGAAUAAAGUUAAUCAAUUUCUUAAAGUUGCAGGGUAUUUUUAAGCCUUUUCCCUAAAAUAUAUUUCUAUUUAUUGAUUUCUUAUGUGACAAGAGUAUAUCAGUUUGCAGCUGUGGUUCUCCUGUCGAAAUUGAACGAAGGGUUUAUAACCAACUAAGAGAUCAAUUCUUUUUCAUGGAUCCCAAAUAUACUGCAGAAACCUUGAAUCAUCUGGAGAAAGAACGUGAAUUACUGUCAAUGCCCAUAAAACUAUGUCUGAUGAAUUACACAGACUUCAGGUUGAGGAAGAAAUGCUGAUGCGCAAGUUCCAUGAACUUAUGUCUGCUCAUGGUCUAGCUAAAAAGGGAACACGCCGUCUGAAGGAACGACGCAACUGUUAAGAUUGUUUUCUGUGACUCGGUGCACUUAUUGGAUAGUACAACUUUGACUUAGCAAUGGUCAGAGCCUGCUACCCUUUUUUUGUUCCACAUGAGAUUGAAGGAAGGAGCACUGGUCAACAUGACAAAUGGUGCUGAUGAAAGACAGAAUGGUUGGGAAGCAGCACUGGUUGACAUGACUGAUGAUGCUGAUGAAAGGCAGAAUGACCUGGAAGGAGCUGUCAGUUAAAUGACAAAAGGUGAUCACUAAUGAAUAAGUGAGAUAGAUAUGGUUCCUAAGCUAUCUAUAAAGAAAUCCGUUGUUAGCCUUUUACACUUAAAAGAGUCCAAUUUUUGGGCUCACAUUGCAGAUGCUUUUAGAUUGUUUCUCACACAGAUCUCUCAGCUCCACAGAAAACAAAGUGCAAUUUAUGCUUUUUAAUAGCAUAGAUGAUACAAGCUGUUUCCCA